CGUCUCUGUCGUGGCGCGGCCUCCCGCGGUCUCCUCUGCAAAUGGGCUCCGUGGCCUAGCGCCCCCGUCCCCGCCACCCGUGAUCGUGCGCCGAGGCCCGCGAGGGGUCGCCGCCCAGGCCGCCUGGGUUCCACUUCCAGCAACAGCUCCUGCAGCAGUACCGAGUGCCCCGGGGAAGCCAUUCCCCACCCCCCAGGUGAGUGCAGGAUCGCCCCUUUCUCCCCCCGCCCCUCCAGGAGCUGGCAGCAUCAAGACCCCACUUCGCUUCUCUCAGGUCUCCCCAAGGCUGACCCGGGUCAUUGGUGGGCCAGCUUCUUUUUCGGGAAGUCCACCCUCCCGUUCAUGGCCACGGUGUUGGAGUCCGCAGAGCACUCGGAACCUCCCCAGGCCUCCAGCAGCAUGACCACCUGUGGCCUGGCUCGGGACGCCCCGAGGAAGCAGCCCGGCGGUCAGUCCAGCACAGCCAGCGCUGGGCCCCAGUCCUGACCUGAGCGGUUACCACCAGCCCCAGGCCUGCGGAGGCGCUAGUCCACCAGAGCCCCUCCCCGCCCCUCUC
rnacentral:sRNA from 1 species